rnacentral:lncRNA from 1 species
CAGGAGGAUGCUGAGGUACCUGCACAGCUCAGCAGCUGAGAAAUGUCUCUGAGACUCAAAGUAGGACCACGGGACAGAGAGGUCAUUGCAGGCACAGGCUUUUCAAGGGAAGUGUGUUUUACUCAUCCGCCUGUGGAGUCCAGCUAUUAAUAGGGUUCUGAAGUGCACCAAAUUGGCCAUUGGCAGUCCCAUUAAGAUACGUAAGUGCAUAUUAC